rnacentral:rRNA from 1 species
GACGAACGCUGGCGGCGUGCUUAACACAUGCAAGUCGAACGGAAAUGCCCUGCUUUUGUGGGGUGCUCGAGUGGCGAACGGGUGAGUAACACGUGAGUAACCUGCCCUUGACUUUGGGAUAACUUCAGGAAACUGGUGCUCAUACCGGAUAGGAGCUCCUGCUGCAUGGUGGGGGUGGGUAAGUUUCGGCGGUUGGGGAUGGACUCGCCGCUUAUCAGCUUGUUGGUGGGGUAGUGGCUUACCAAGGCUUUGCCGGGUAGCCGGCCUGAGAGGGUGACCGGCCACAUUGGGACUGAGAUACGGCCCAGACUCCUACGGGAGGCAGCAGUGGGGAAGAUUGCACAAUGGGCGGAAGCCUGAUGCAGCAACGCCGCGUGCGGGAUAACGGCCUUCGGGUUGUAAACCGCUUUCGCCUGUGACGAAGCGUGAGUGACGGUAAUGGGUAAAGAAGCACCGGCUAACUACGUG